AAUGCCCAUGAUUUUGGAAUGAGAUGUUCAAUGAGCAGGUGUCCACAUACUUUUGGUCAUGUAGUGUAUAAAUCUCAUGAUUCAAUGAUGAUUUCACUAUCUCACUGUCCUUUAAUCUGUAUUUGUUUUCACCAGAUGAACUCAAAGAAAAACUAAGGAAAGCUGAAGAGACCAUCAAAUCCCUCUCCACCUCACCAGGAGGUCAACAGGAAACACAGACUCCUUCCCAAAAUGAGUCAGAGAUUGAAGAGAUGGAGAUGAAGACUUUACCUGGUUCAGGGAGGAAGUCUGCUCCAGAGAAGAAGCCUUUACUGGCUGCUGGACCACAGAAGGAUGAUCUGGAUGAGCUGGAGAGGGGAGGAGGAGUUACUAUAGACAAUAACUAUAUGCUAUAGGGUUACUAUAGGGAGACUAUAACUAUAGAGCUGAGUUACUAUAGAGACUAUAACUAUCUAUAGAGACCUGUCCCACCUAACAAAGCUGUGUUUCUGAGUAUAUAACUGAGUGAUAUGAAUCUCGGUAAGACAAAGUAAUUUGAUAAAUGUGUUUGUCAUUACUCUAUAUUCCACUUCCAGUAGUUAGUUCUUUACUUUUUGAAGUUUUACUACCCAUGUUUGUAUUAUGGGUUUAUAUCCAUUUCCUGGUUAUUCUAUAUAUGUUUUCCCCAUAAACAAUGUCUUUCUAAUCCCCCUCAGGAAUUGAUAGAGUUGAAUUGAAUUGAAUGUUGGACUAAGGUCUCCUGUUAGAAUCUGUUACAGACUCUCUUAUGUCCAGUACCUGAUAAUCAGGUAUAUCAACAAGACCACAGGACUAAUGUCUCCUGUUAGAAUCUGUUACAGACUCUCUUAUGUCCAGUACCUGAUAAUCAGGUAUAUCAACAAGACCACAGGACUAAGGUCUCCUGUUAGAAUCUGUUACAGACUCUCUUAUGUCCAGUACCUGAUAACCAGGUAUAUCAACAAGACCACAGGAGGUUGGUGGCACCUUAAUUAGGGAGGAGGGGCUCGUGGUAUUGGCUGAAGAGGAAUCA